rnacentral:rRNA from 1 species
UACGGAGGGGGCUAGCGUUGUUCGGAAUUACUGGGCGUAAAGCGCGCGUAGGCGGACCUGCAAGUCGGGGGUGAAAGCCCGAGGCUCAACCUCGGAACUGCCUUCGAUACUGCGGGUCUCGAGUCCGGGAGAGGUGAGUGGAAUUCCUAGUGUAGAGGUGAAAUUCGUAGAUAUUAGGAAGAACACCAGUGGCGAAGGCGGCUCACUGGCCCGGUACUGACGCUGAGGCGCGAAAGCGUAGGGAGCAAACAGG